CCUACGGGAGGCAGCAGUGAGGAAUAUUGGUCAAUGGGCGCGCGCCUGAACCAGCCAAGUAGCGUGAAGGAUGACUGCCCUACGGGUUGUAAACUUCUUUUAUCAAGGAAUAAAGUGAGGCACGUGUGCCUUUUUGUAUGUACUUUAUGAAUAAGGAUCGGCUAACUCCGUUCCAGCAGCCGCGGUAAUACGGAGGAUACGAGCGUUAUCCGGAUUUCUUGGGGUUAAAGGGAGCGUAGAUGGGUUGUUAAGUCAGUUGUGAAAGUUUGAGGCUCAACCGUAAAAUUGCAAUUGAUACUGGCAUUCUUGAGUACAGUUGAGGUAGGCGGAAUUCGUGGUGUAGCGGUGAAAUGCUUAGAUAUCACGAAGAACUCCGAUUGCGAAGGCAGCUUACUAAACUGCCACUGACAUUGAUGCUCGAAAGUGUGGGUAUCAAACAGGAUUAGAUACCCUUGUAGUC
rnacentral:rRNA from 1 species